rnacentral:rRNA from 1 species
GAUGAACGCUAGCGGCAGGCUUAAUACAUGCAAGUCGAGGGGCAGCAGGGGUGUAGCAAUACACUCGCUGGCGACCGGCAAACGGGUGCGGAACACGUACGCAAUCUACCCAAAACUGAUGAAUAGCCCUCCGAAAGGAGGAUUAAUACAUCGUAACUUAAGGAAGUGGCAUCACUAUCUUAAUAUAGCUCCGGCGGUUUUGGAUGAGCGUGCGCCUGAUUAGGUAGUUGGCGGGGUAACGGCCCACCAAGCCUGCGAUCAGUAACUGGUGUGAGAGCAAGAACAGUCACACGGGCACUGAGAAACGGGCCCGACUCCUACGGGAGGCAGCAGUAAGGAAUAUUGGUCAAUGGACGCAAGUCUGAACCAGCCAUGCCGCGUGAAGGAUGAAGGUCCUCUGGAUUGUAAACUUCUUUUAUAUGGGACGAAACCUCUUAUUCUUAAGAGACUGACGGUACCAUAGGAAUAAGCACCGGCUAACUCCGUGCCAGCCGCCGCAGUAACAC